rnacentral:tmRNA from 1 species
UCACUUCCCAUUCACGAAAAAGCGCCUAUAUAGGUCGGUGCCGGGUUCGCUCGGCUAUGGUGAUAAAUUGCGGUGUGCAAUAGAUGCAGCGGACCCGGGGGCGGUACCCGGCAGCUCCACCAAAAUCUCUGUUCGCCAGAGGUCUUGGAGGGGCUGAACUAGGAUCGACGUGCGUUGAAAAGCAUUGUUUUUGCCCGGCAUGAAUAAGCCGUGAAAUGGUUCAUAACCAAUAGGU